ensembl:lncRNA
UCUAUGUGUGUGGUACAGACCCAUUUUUAAGAAUAUUUUUGAGCCAUGGUUGGUUGGACAUGAGGAUGUAGAAUACACAGAACUGAACACAUGGAUACACAGCACAGUUGUAUUUUUGAAGUCACAUAACUAUACAGCAUUACGGGACACCACAAGGGCAGUCACAGAGCUCAGCCAGGGCAACGAAACCUGAAUAUAACUGUGAUCAAAAAUUACAGUAAAAUAGUCUGAGGAGAGGACUUCCGGAGGAUGAUAGAGAGGUAAACAGCAACAAAUCAACCUCUACGAGCUUCAGAAUCCCAGCACUGGGAUAUAACAGCCUGGGGAAGAAGAGAAGGAGCAAGGUGGAUCCCUGGGUCCAGGAAGGAUCUGAGCCCACAGAGAAAGAAGUGAAAGGGUCGCAAUGAGCAAGUUUGUUAUGUGCAUUUCUCCACUCUGGGAAACACUGAUGAAAAUGAUCAGGAUUAGGAAUGAAACGAGUCACAAUAAAAUCCACUUUAAAUUAAAAUAUAAUUUGAUCUAUGCCAACGAGACAGUUUCAGCAGAAGGAAGCUGGGGGUGGGAGGACCUGUCUCCCCAAAACAUGUCUCUCGUGGCUGAAAGCACUGGGCAGGGGCAGAUGAUGUGGUCAGAGCACAAACCGCGGUGGAUUUCACAGAGCUGCUUCGGUCACCUUCCGACUCUGAGUUCUGGGGCGCCUUUCCCGGGCCCUGACGUGGGAAGUUUGGACCUCGGAGGACGAGAAGGGGCACAAUCAGGAAGCCACCUUACAGCCUUGCAGUUCACCUACAGCACCUUCACUGAAUACACCCCAGGAACUUAUCCGUCUCGUUGGUGGGUUAUGGUGGGUUCAGUUGACCAAGAGCUCCCCUGACUACUUGGGAGAAGCCAAGAAAGCCUUCCAUGCCCUGCUCCGGCCCACCCUCAGCUGCAGACACCACUCAGGAACAGGGAGCUACUGCACCAAGGCUGGACCUCGGCACCUCCUCCUAACCCAAGAUCGCCACAACACCCACUCUCAUCUUGCUGCACCCACCCCCUGAAGCCC